AUCAAAUUAGAGCUUGAUAGAAAGCUUUUCAUUUACACUGAUAGAUUUACUGUGCAAUUCAGUUAAUUUGAU
rnacentral:tRNA from 1 species